UUAAAGUUUUUGGAGCAGAUGUCAUUUCCAUGUAACUAUAAGCCCUAUAUUGACUAAACUUGCAUGGAUGAUACAUCUAAGGAUGCACACUACUGGACUUACUUCGGAUGCUGGAUCUGACCUAUAUUUUCUGGAUGAGUGAUCAGGUUAAAGUUUUUGAAGCAGAUGUCAUAUCCAAGUAACUAUAAACCCUAUAUUGACCAAACUUGCAUGGAUUAUACAUCUUAGGAUUCACACUACUGGACUUGCUUCAGAUGCUGGAUCUGAACUAUAUUUUCCGGAUGAGUGACCAGAUUAAAGUUUUUGGAGCAGAUCUCAUUUCCAAGUAACUAUAAGGCCUAUCUGAACCAAACUUGCAUGGAUGAUGCAUCAAGGGACGAACAAUCUCAAAACUUGCUUCGCAUGCUGGAUUUGACUUACAUUUUCUGAACGAGUGUCUAGUUUUAAGUUUUCAGAUAAGUCCAUUCCCAAGUAACUGCAAGCCCUAUCAGACCAAAAUUGCAUAAAUGUUGCAUCUAGGGAUGCACACUCCUAGAUUAUUAGUUUAGUGUGGGACUUUGCCUUACUUAAAGACAACAUUUGUUGAGGUGAGCUCUGUAAUCUCUGAUUACCUAUGCUUGAAGAUACUACUUCCCCUUUCAAUGAAUUUUUUCAUCAGAAAGACAUCAUUUUGACCCCUUUCAAUUUUAAAGUUGUUAAUUAACUUAUCUAAACUAUUCCAACAUUUGUUCAAUCAGUAUUCUUUAGGAAUUUGUAAUCAUCAGACUGUGCAUAGAGGUUUGUCUUUAUAAACAGACUUGUGACUAUGUUAGGGCAAAUUACAUGUCCCUGGUCUUUCUGCCAAAUUUCACAAAAAUUGUCAUGAAUCAACAUUUUAGAAAUCCUUUAUUUGAUCAUCUCCAAAAUUCAUAGCGUAAGACAAGAUAUUACAUAAGAAUCAUAAACAUUUAUUAUUUCAAGCAUGGGGUAGUGUAAAGUUGGGGGGGUGCACAUCUAACAUUUCUUACUAGUAUUUUGUCAGGUUAUGAGUCAAAAUCUAGUCCAACAGCAGCUGAUGGAUGGAUGUUUCACUAUUAAGUGCCCAACCUGUAAAAUAAUGAGAUUUACUACUUUAUUUUGUGAUGUAGAGCAGAAUACUGGCCCACCAGAGGUAGCAGGACAUGGAGCCACUUGCUGUUCCAUUUUAGCAGAAGGAGGCAUUAGAUUACCUGUACCCAACAGAAAUCGAAGAAGAGUUUCCCCAAUCAACUAAAGCCAACUUUGCAAGAUGUGUUGACAGGGAGUACAUAGUGCAGCAGCCAGGACCAUCGAGAGCUAUAGGUCAAGGAGGAUAUGGACAUGGAACCACUCAGCAGCCAGGGAGUCUGAAAAAGAGAUAAAAAAGACACCAGAAGAGGGAAGGACAGAAUAGUCAGCCAAUCAGACGAUGACAGAUAUCGAUUAAGCUAAUAGGCCACCAUUGGCCAAAGUGG